rnacentral:misc_RNA from 1 species
UACACCCUCAAGCCUAGCUUGGUGUUGGGCGUCUGUCCCGCACUCGUUGCGCGGACUCGCCUCAAAGUCAUUGGCGGCGGUCGUGCCGGCUCCUCGCGCAGCACAUUUGCGCUUCUCGGAGGCCCGGCGGAUCGGCAUCCAGCAAGCUACCUUUUAUG